rnacentral:rRNA from 1 species
AACGAACGCUGGCGGCAUGCCUAACACAUGCAAGUCGAACGAAACGUUCCGGUCUAGUGGCGCAGGGGUGCUUGACGAGUGGUAAGUUGCCCUUAGGUACGGAAUAACUCCCUGAAAGGGGUGCUAAUACAGGAUAAUGUCUUCGGACAAAAGAUGUAUCGCCUUUGGAUGGGGGUGCGUUGGAUUAGCUAGUUGGUAGGGUAAAAGCCUAUCAAGGCGACGAUGCAUAGCUGGUCUGGUAGGAGGAUCAACCAGACUGGGACUGCGACACGGCCCAGACUCCGACGGAAGGGUGCGGAGUAGAAUACUGUACGAUGAGGGAAGACGUAAUACAGCAAUGCCGCGUGAGUGAUGAAGGCCUUAGUAAUGUAAAUCUCUUUUACCCGAGAUGAUAAUGACGGUACCGGGAGAAGAAGCACCGGCUAACUCCGUG